UUUCAAUUUAAUACAAAAUCUCAACAGUUUCUCGACAAUCCAUUAUUUUGCAAUCCAUUGUUCCUAACUCUAUCAAUUGUUCCGACCCGCUAGAUCCAAAAAUCAAACUAGAAAAUCACAUAGCAAAGAUAGAGAGGAAUGAGGCAAAGGAAAGGUUAACCGUGGGGGACAAGAUUUUACAGCAAUUAGAUAGGAUUGAAGGGCUAGUGAGGCAGCUCAUAGCCAUGGAAGGCAGCAGUACCCAAGUCAUUCCAACAGCCAUGACUCAUCCAUCGCUAAUUCACAACUCAAAGCAUAUAAGAUCGAGCAUCCUAGUUUAAACAAUGAAGAGCUAACUGAAAUGGUACUAAAGGAGCCCAAGUUGGCAGUUAGCAAUGUUGAGUUGUUGCAACAAUUUGAUGAAGCUAACAGCUACAAAUCCGAGGAGAACCAUUUUGAUGGUGAUAAAAGAGAAUCACUGAUAGAGACUGUUGAAGGAUUCAAUGUUAAAUCAAAGCAGCAGUUAAGAGUUCUCGGAGGAACACGACUUGUGUCAUCCAUGCUAGAACCGCGCGACUACCUAACGGAACAGUCUCCAUUACUCGACAUCACAAAGACAAAUUGCUCGAUAAGAUUCACCAAAGAGAAAGAUCGAGAUCUUUUGGAGGUAGAGUAGGCGAAAACCUUACAUCCUCUGUUUGGGAAGUCUGUGGGGACCACGAAAGGUGGUGGUGAUUUUCAAAUAGACUCGCUGACCAAGUUUGAGGAUCUAUCUCCACAGCAACGCAGGUGUUUGAGAUCAUCGAUGUUCACUAUAAGGGCUAUUUGAUUGCUGGAUUACACAAUGAUAUAGGGGGACCAUAACAAUUACAUGAUAUCACAAAUGGUCAUAACAUGAUGAACCUUGCCGGAAAAAUUGACCAAGACCUUCACAGUACAACGGAGGAGCAAGUUUUGCUGCAUGUAGUGUUUGGGACAUCUGUGAGGAAGGAGAAUGAAGAUUCUGGGUAUAGACCAAAGGAAAAAUUGCAAGAUGCUGGUCCAAUUUUAACAAUGGGCUCAAGUUUUGGAACCAAGCUACAUUACUCUAGUGUCGAGCCAAUGUACACCAGCCCACUUCUAUUUGAUUUUGACAAGCCACCACCUGAACCUCCAGAUUUAAGUUCAACAGAGUUGAUAAAUGUUGAAACAAAGCAAUUAUCUCCUUCAACGAUGCAGGGAUUCCUCUCCAUGGAAGUAUCGAUAUCCAACAAUUUGCAAUGCAUUUCACAAGGAGGAAUUUCUCAACUCAAAAUAGUGAAAGGGAGAGGAUCGACUACAAUCCAAUUUACCAAGCCUCCUCCAUUGGUAGCACAUCUAAUUACAAAUUCUGGAAUUGAUAAUUGGGGAUUUCUUAUUAUUGUUCUAGCCAAUGAAGGAAAUAUGCUGCCAUUUAUUCAACCAUUUGUCUCAACUCUUGUGCAACAAGCUCAAUUUGCAGGUAAUCAUAUAUUAAACGAAGAAGUUCAGAUUCCUUCACUUAUAAGUUCGGGAAUUGGAAGUAUAAAAGGAAAU
rnacentral:misc_RNA from 1 species